rnacentral:rRNA from 1 species
CCGUUGUGGGCGCAGGAAAUUUGAGAGGAGCUGUCCUUAGUACGAGAGGACCGGGAUGGACGUACCUCUGGUGUACCGGUUGCAGACCAACUGCACAGCCGGGUAGCUAUGUAUGGAACGGAUAAACGCUGAAGGCAUCUAAGCGUGAAGCCGCCCUCAAGAUAAGAUUUCCCAUUCUUCGGAAGUAAGAUCCCUUAAAGAUAAUGAGGUAGAUAGGUUGGAGGUGUAAGCACAGUAACGUGUUCAGCUGACCAAUACUAAUAGAUCGAGGGCUUGACCU